GCAGUGCGUGGCCGAAUGUUUACGCUGUCCGCUUUGUAAGCGGAUGAUUGUGGGUUCGAUUCUCAUCUGCUGCA
rnacentral:tRNA from 1 species